rnacentral:rRNA from 1 species
AGGGCGUACGGUGGAUGCCUUGGCACUAGGAGCCGAUGAAGGACGCGACGAACAGCGACAUGCCCUGGGGAGUGGUAAGUACACAUUGAUCCAGGGGUAUCCGAAUGGGGGAACCCACCGCCGGGAGACUGGCGGGACACCCGUGUGAAUACAUAGCACGGCGUGAGGCAGACCCGGGGAACUGAAACAUCUAAGUACCCGGAGGAAGAGAAAGAAAAUUCGAUUCCCUGAGUAGCGGCGAGCGAAACGGGAACAGCCCAAACCAGGAAGCAUGCUUCCUGGGGUUGUAGGACACUCUAUACGGAGUUACAAAGGGAUAGGAUAGGUGAACGACCUGGAAAGGUCGGCCAGAGAAGGUGACGGCCCUGUAGCCGAAAUCCCAUCCCCUCCAGAGUGGAUCCUGAGUACGGCGGGACACGUGAAACCCCGUCGGAAUCCGGGAGGACCAUCUCCCAAGGCUAAAUACUUCCUAGUGACCGAUAGUGAACCAGUACCGUGAGGGAAAGGUGAAAAGCACCCCGGAAGGGGAGUGAAACAGAUCCUGAAACCGUAUGCCUACAAGUAGUCAGAGCCCGUUAACGGGUGAUGGCGUGCCUUUUGUAGAAUGAACCGGCGAGUUACGAUGGCGGGCGAGGUUAAGCCGAUGAGGCGGAGCCGCAGCGAAAGCGAGUCUGAACAGGGCGCAUCAGUCCGUCGUCGUAGACCCGAAACCAGGUGAUCUACCCAUGUCCAGGAUGAAGGUCAGGUAACACUGACUGGAGGUCCGAACCCACGCACGUUGAAAAGUGCGGGGAUGAGGUGUGGGUAGCGGUGAAAUGCCAAUCGAACCUGGAGAUAGCUGGUUCUCCCCGAAAUAGCUUUAGGGCUAGCCUCGAGGUGAAGAGUUCCGGAGGUAGAGCACUGAUUGGACUAGGGGCCCCCACAGGGUUACCGAAUUCAGUCAAACUCCGAAUGCCGGCAACUUGUACUCGGGAGUCAGACUGCGAGUGAUAAGAUCCGUAGUCGAAAGGGAAACAGCCCAGACCAUCAGCUAAGGUCCCCAAGUGUAUGUUAAGUGGAAAAGGAUGUGGCGUUGCACAGACAACUAGGAUGUUGGCUUAGAAGCAGCCAUCAUUCAAAGAGUGCGUAAUAGCUCACUAGUCGAGUGACGCCGCGCCGAAAAUGUAACGGGGCUAAACAUACCACCGAAGCUAUGGAUCCCGUAAGGGAUGGUAGGGGAGCGUUCCAAGCAGCAGUGAAGCGGUAUCGUGAGGAGCCGUGGAGCGCUUGGAAGUGAGAAUGCCGGUGUGAGUAGCGAAAAGAGGGGUGAGAAUCCCCUCCGUCGAAAGCCCAAGGUUUCCUGAGGAAGGCUCGUCCGCUCAGGGUUAGUCUGGACCUAAGCCGAGGCCGAAAGGCGUAGGCGAUGGACAACAGGUUGAUAUUCCUGUACCGCCGUACCACCGUUUGAACGAUGGGGGGACGCAGAAGGAUAAGGUAACCGUGCGACUGGAAGUGCACGGACAAGCAGCGAGGCCGUCGGGUUGGCAAAUCCGCCCGGCACACAAGGUCGAGCUGUGACGUGGAGCCCGUAGGGCGAAGUACCGGAUUUCACGCUGCCAAGAAAAGCCUCUAGUGAGGAGGUCGGCGCCAGUACCGUAAACCGACACAGGUAGGCGAGAUGAGAAUUCUAAGACGCGCGGGAUAACUCUCGUUAAGGAACUCGGCAAAAUGGUCCCGUAACUUCGGGAGAAGGGACGCUUAUGGCAACAUAAGCCGCAGUGAAUAGGCCCAAACGACUGUUUAGCAAAAACACAGGUCUCUGCUAAAUCGCAAGAUGACGUAUAGGGGCUGACGCCUGCCCGGUGCUGGAAGGUUAAGGGGAUGUGUCAUCGCAAGAGAAGCACUGAACCGAAGCCCCAGUAAACGGCGGCCGUAACUAUAACGGUCCUAAGGUAGCGAAAUUCCUUGUCGGGUAAGUUCCGACCCGCACGAAAGGCGUAACGAUUUGGGCACUGUCUCAACGAGAGACCCGGUGAAAUCAUAGUACCUGUGAAGAUGCAGGUUACCCGCGACAGGACGGAAAGACCCCAUGGAGCUUUACUACAGCCUGAUAUUGAGGCUUUGUACGCGAUGUACAGGAUAGGUGGGAGUU